rnacentral:rRNA from 1 species
UACGUAGGGUGCAAGCGUUGUCCGGAAUUAUUGGGCGUAAAGAGCUCGUAGGCGGUUUGUCGCGUCUGCUGUGAAAACCCGAGGCUCAACCUCGGGCCUGCAGUGGGUACGGGCAGACUAGAGUGCGGUAGGGGAGAUUGGAAUUCCUGGUGUAGCGGUGGAAUGCGCAGAUGAUCGGGAACGAACACCCGUGGCGAAGGCGGCACUCUGGGACGGUACUGACGCUGAAGGUGCGGAAAGCGUGGGGAGCAAACAGG